rnacentral:rRNA from 1 species
AAGUCGAACGAGAAAGUUUCCUUCGGGAAGCGAGUACAGUGGCGCACGGGUGAGUAACGCGUAGGUAAUCUACCCUUAUGCCUGGGAUAACAUCGGGAAACUGGUGCUAAUACCGGAUAUCCUUCUUGACUGCGGGGUGAAGGAGGAAAGGUGGCCUCUUCAUGAAAGCUACCGCACAGGGAUGAGCCUGCGUACCAUUAGCUAGUAGGCGGGGUAACGGCCCACCUAGGCAACGAUGGUUAGCGGGUCUGAGAGGAUGAUCCGCCACACUGGAACUGGAACACGGACCAGACUCCUACGGGAGGCAGCAGUGAGGAAUAUUGCGCAAUGGGGGAAACCCUGACGCAGCGACGCCGCGUGAGUGAGGAAGGUUUUCGGAUCGUAAAGCUCUGUCAGAAGGGAAGAAAUGCUGCAUGGUUAAUACCCAUGCAGUUUGACGGUACCUUCAAAGGAAGCACCGGCUAACUCCGUGCCAGCAGCCGCGGUAAUACGGAGGGUGCGAGCGUUGUUCGGAAUUACUGGGCGUAAAGGGCGCGCAGGCGGCCUGAUAAGUCAGAUGUGAAAGCCCACGGCUCAACCGUGGAAGUGCAUUUGAAACUGUCUGGCUUGAGUAUCGGAGGGGAGUGUGGAAUUCCCGGUGUAGAGGUGAAAUUCGUAGAGAUCGGGAGGAACACCGGUGGCGAAGGCGACACUCUGGACGAAUACUGACGCUGAGGCGCGAAAGCGUGGGGAGCAAACAGGA